AAGUCGUAACAAGGUUUCCGUAGGUGAACCUGCGGAAGGAUCAUUACAUGAUAUACUGGCUACGGCGGCAGCUUUCCCAACAGACAGCUGUCCGCCCGAACCUUAACCCUUGCUUUUUGCGCACCCAUUGUUUCCUCGGCAGGCUUGCCUGCCAGUAGGACCUUUUUAAACUCUUUGCAGUUGCAGUCAGCGUCAGAAAUAACGUAAUCGUUACAACUUUCAACAACGGAUCUCUUGGUUCUG
rnacentral:misc_RNA from 1 species